rnacentral:rRNA from 1 species
AGAGUUUGAUCAUGGCUCAGGACGAACGCUGGCGGCGUGCUUAACACAUGCAAGUCGAACGAAAAGAGGGAAAGAGCUUGCUCUUUCCGGAAUUGAGUGGCAAACGGGUGAGUAACACGUAAACAACCUGCCUUCAGGAUGGGGACAACAGACGGAAACGACUGCUAAUACCGAAUAAGUUCCAAGAGCCGCAUGGCCCAUGGAAGAAAAGGUGGCCUCUACCAGUAAGCUAUCGCCUGAAGAGGGGUUUGCGUCUGAUUAGCUGGUUGGAGGGGUAACGGCCCACCAAGGCGACGAUCAGUAGCCGGUCUGAGAGGAUGAACGGCCACACUGGAACUGAGACACGGUCCAGACUCCUACGGGAGGCAGCAGUGGGGAAUCUUCCGCAAUGGGCGAAAGCCUGACGGAGCAACGCCGCGUGAGUGAUGACGGCCUUCGGGUUGUAAAACUCUGUGAUCCGGGACGAAAAGGCAGAGUGCGAAGAACAAACUGCAUUGACGGUACCGGAAAAGCAAGCCACGGCUAACUACGUGCCAGCAGCCGCGGUAAUACGUAGGUGGCAAGCGUUGUCCGGAAUUAUUGGGCGUAAAGCGCGCGCAGGCGGCUUCCCAAGUCCCUCUUAAAAGUGCGGGGCUUAACCCCGUGAUGGGAAGGAAACUGGGAAGCUGGAGUAUCGGAGAGGAAAGUGGAAUUCCUAGUGUAGCGGUGAAAUGCGUAGAGAUUAGGAAGAACACCGGUGGCGAAGGCGACUUUCUGGACGAAAACUGACGCUGAGCGCGAAAGCGUGGGGAGCAAACAGGAUUAGAUACCCUGGUAGU